GACGAACGCUGGCGGCGUGCCUAAUACAUGCAAGUCGAACGCAGUGGGGACGGGUGAGUAACACGUGGGCAAACUCCCAUCAGAGGGGAUAACACUUGGAAACAGGUGCUAAACCGAUACUGAUGGAUGAACCCGCGGUGCAUUAGCUAGUUGGUGGGGUAACGGCUCACCAAGGCCACGAUGCAUAGCCGACCUGAGAGGUUGAUCGGCCACACUGGGACUGAGACACGGCCCAGACUCCUACGGGAGGCAGCAGUAGGGAAUAUUCGGCAAUGGACGAAAGUCUGACCGAGCAACGCCGCGUGAGUGAAGAAGGUUUUCGGAUCGUAAAGCUCUGUUGUUAUGGAAGCGGUAUCUAACCAAAAAGCCACGGCUAACUACGUGCCAGCCGCCGCGGUAAUUC
rnacentral:rRNA from 1 species